rnacentral:misc_RNA from 1 species
UCCGGUUUGUCACCGGCAGUCUCCCUAGAGUUCCCGACCGAAUCGCUGGCAAAUAGGGACAAGGGUUGCGCUCGUUACGGGACUUAACCCAACAUUUCACAACACGAGCUGACGACAGCCAUGCAGCACCUGUCUGAGAGUUCCCGAAGGCACCAAUCCAUCUCUGGAAAGUUCUCUCGAUGUCAAGGGUAGGUAAGGUUCUUCGCGUUGCAUCGAAUUAAACCACAUGCUCCACCGCUUGUGCGGGCCCCCGUCAAUUCAUUUGAGUUUUAACCUUGCGGCCGUACUCCCCAGGCGGUCGACUUAUCGCGUUAACUGCGCCACAAAGCUCUCAAGGAGCCCAACGGCUAGUCGACAUCGUUUACGGCGUGGACUAC